UACGGAGGGUGCAAGCGUUAAUCGGAAUUACUGGGCGUAAAGAGCGCGCAGGCGGUCGUUCAAGUCGAGUGUGAAAGCCCCCGGCUCAACUGGGGAGGGUCACUCGAUACUGAUCGACUUGAAGGCAGGAGAGGGAAGCGGAAUUCCCGGUGUAGUGGUGAAAUGCGUAGAUAUCGGGAGGAACACCAGUGGCGAAGGCGGCUUCCUGGCCUGUUCUUGACGCUGAGGCGCGAAAGCUAGGGGAGCAAACGGG
rnacentral:rRNA from 1 species